rnacentral:rRNA from 1 species
AUACGGAGGGUGCAAGCGUUAUCCGGAAUCAUUGGGUUUAAAGGGUCCGUAGGCGGACUAUUAAGUCAGAGGUGAAAUCCCACAGCUCAACUGUGGAACUGCCUUUGAUACUGGUAGUCUUGAGUUAUAUGGAAGUAGAUAGAAUGUGUAGUGUAGCGGUGAAAUGCAUAGAUAUUACACAGGAUACCGAUUGCGAAGGCAGUCUACUACGUAUAUACUGACGCUAAGGGACGAAAGCGUGGGGAGCGAACAGGAUUAGAAACCCCGGUAGUCC